AUGAGGUCACAGCAGGGCUCGUGCACACGUGGGUGUCUGCAGGUGUGCGCCUGGCGGGGCUUCCGAGGCCUGCUGUCCUCGCACAUGUUGUCAGAAAAAGUCAGCCAGCAUUUUAGGACGAGUGGCACAGACGUCUCCCCUCCUGGUGGCAGAAGGAAACAUCUUGCCAUUUCUGUCCCUGGGAUGGAGGUUGGCACGCAGGAGGUUCAUCACUGAUGGCUUACAAGAAGGAUGCGUACAAGCAAUCAUAAAAGGUAAAAUCUUAAAACAAAAAGAAAAAUGAACCCCGUUCCUUGAAGCGUCAGAGAACCCUGGAACCCAAUGGCCAGAAACACCCAAACAUGGAGAAUGAUGUUUGCUGUUAAAACAACUGCAUUCAAGUAAAGCAACAACUAAUAAACUUCCAGGAUAUAAUGAUCA
rnacentral:lncRNA from 12 species